rnacentral:rRNA from 1 species
GACGAACGCUGGCGGCGCGCUUAACACAUGCAAGUCGAGCGAAAACCAUGGCUUCGGCCAUGGGGAGAGCGGCGAACGGGUGAGUAACACGUGAGCGAUCUGCCCUCGACACCGGGAUAGCCCGGGGAAACCCGGAUUAAUACCAGAUGGCCUCUCGAGCCCACGGGCUCGUUAGAAAAGAUGGCUUCGGUUUUCGGUCGAGGAGGAGCUUGCGGCGGAUUAGCUGGUUGGUGGGGUAACGGCUCACCAAGGCGACGAUCCGUAGCUGGUCUGGGGGGACGAUCAGCCACACUGGGACUGAGACACGGCCCAGACUCCUACGGGAGGCAGCAGUGGGGAAUCUUGCGCAGUGGGCGAAAGCCUGACGCAGCGACGCCGCGUGAGGGAAGAAGGCCUUCGGGUUGUAAACCUCUUUCAGGAGGGACGAAGCCACUCGGGUUAAUACCCCAGAGGGUGACGGUACCUCCAGAAGAAGCCCCGGCUAACUACGUGCCAGCCGCCGCGGUAACAC